ensembl:lncRNA
AUGCAGGAUGUGAACCUCCACAGGGCUGGUAGCAACCACAGACUCCUGAGCAACUUCCAUUGCUUCUCCGUUCAGCCCAACCUGUUCUUCAUCAUGCAGGAUGUGAACCUCCACAGGGCUGGUAGCAACCAAAGACUCCUGAGCAACUUCCAUUGCUUCUCCGUUCAGCCCAACCUGUUCUUCUGCAUGCAGGAUGUGAACCUCCACAGGGCUGGUAGCAACCACAGACUCCUGAGCAACUUCCAUUGCUUCUCCGUUCAGCCCAACCUGUUCUUCAUCAUGCAGGAUGUGAACCUCCACAGGGCUGGUAGCAACCAAAGACUCCUGAGCAACUUCCAUUGCUUCUCCGUUCAGCCCAACCUGUUCUUCUGCAUGCAGGGUUUGGACUAUUGGUUUUACCUGAACCUCCACAGGGCUGGUAACAACCACAGACUCAGUGGAAACAUCUCCCUGAGUUUGGAGCAGAGCAGCUCGUUCUCUCGCCCGCUUCCGAGCUCGUUUCUCGCGCUGGUAUUUUUUCUUCCCAUUAGGACCUUGACCUGCAAACACAGACUCCUGAGCAACUUCUAUUGCUUCUCCAUUAAGCCCAACCUGUUCUUCAUCAUGCAGGAUGUGAACCUCCACAGGGCUGGUAGCAACCAAAGACUCCUGAGCAACUUCCAUUGCUUCUUCGUUCAGCCCAACCUGUUCUUCUGCAUGCAGGAUGUGAACCUCCACAGGGCUGGUAGCAACCACAGACUCCUGAGCAACUUCCAUUGCUUCUCCGUUCAGCCCAACCUGUUCUUCUGCAUGCAGGAUGUGAACCUCCACAGGGCUGGUAGCAACCACAGACUCCUGAGCAACUUCCAUUGCUUCUCCGUUCAGCCCAACCUGUUCUUCAUCAUGCAGGAUGUGAACCUCCACAGGGCUGGUAGCAACCAAAGACUCCUGAGCAACUUCCAUUGCUUCUCCGUUCAGCCCAACCUGUUCUUCUGCAUGCAGGAUGUGAACCUCCACAGGGCUGGUAGCAACCACAGACUCCUGAGCAACUUCCAUUGCUUCUCCGUUCAGCCCAACCUGUUCUUCUGCAUGCAGGGUUUGGACUAUUGGUUUUACCUGAACCUCCACAGGGCUGGUAACAACCACAGACUCAGUGGAAACAUCUCCCUGAGUUUGGAGCAGAGCAGCUCGUUCUCUCGCCCGCUUCCGAGCUCGUUUCUCGCGCUGGUAUUUUUUCUUCCCAUUAGGACCUUGACCUGGUUGGUAACAAUCUCCAUGUGUGUUUUUAUUCUCCAUUGUAUCAGUUGUUCUGUGAUGUUUUCCAAAGAUAAUAUUGUCUCUGUUUAAAGCUGCUGCUAUGUGUGUGUCUUUAGUCAAACUGACGUUUAAAGAUGAAAGACUCUUUUUUUUUUUGAAAGAUGAAAGACUCUUUUUUUUUUUUUGAAAGAUGAAAGAGUCUUCGCUCUACGCUUCGAAAUUAUGACGUGUCUAAACUUCCUGUUUACUUCAAAACAAGAGCCCUAACUAAUGGAUGACAAGAAGAGAUGCUUUUAUUUUGAAAAGGCGAUGUUUGAUUUUUAGCUUUAAGUCGGUAUUAAUACCUCUGUGAACUACAAUUGUUUAAAAUAAUGUGUUCAUUUUUACAAUUUCAGUAAUAUUAUGUUAAAUCUGGAAGUUUUGCAUCUUUUCACAAAAUGUUUAUGUCAAUAGUGAAAUAUUUUAG